rnacentral:rRNA from 1 species
GGGUUGUGAGGUUAAGCGACUAAGCGUACACGGUGGAUGCCCUGGCAGUCAGAGGCGAUGAAGGACGUGCUAAUCUGCGAUAAGCGUCGGUAAGGUGAUAUGAACCGUUAUAACCGGCGAUUUCCGAAUGGGGAAACCCAGUGUGUUUCGACACACUAUCAUUAACUGAAUCCAUAGGUUAAUGAGGCGAACCGGGGGAACUGAAACAUCUAAGUACCCCGAGGAAAAGAAAUCAACCGAGAUUCCCCCAGUAGCGGCGAGCGAACGGGGAGCAGCCCAGAGCCUGAAUCAGUGUGUGUGUUAGUGGAAGCGUCUGGAAAGGCGCGCGAUACAGGGUGACAGCCCCGUACACAAAAAUGCACAUGCUGUGAGCUCGAUGAGUAGGGCGGGACACGUGGUAUCCUGUCUGAAUAUGGGGGGACCAUCCUCCAAGGCUAAAUACUCCUGACUGACCGAUAGUGAACCAGUACCGUGAGGGAAAGGCGAAAAGAACCCCGGCGAGGGGAGUGAAAAAGAACCUGAAACCGUGUACGUACAAGCAGUGGGAGCACGCUUAGGCGUGUGACUGCGUACCUUUUGUAUAAUGGGUCAGCGACUUAUAUUCUGUAGCAAGGUUAACCGAAUAGGGGAGCCGAAGGGAAACCGAGUCUUAACUGGGCGUUAAGUUGCAGGGUAUAGACCCGAAACCCGGUGAUCUAGCCAUGGGCAGGUUGAAGGUUGGGUAACACUAACUGGAGGACCGAACCGACUAAUGUUGAAAAAUUAGCGGAUGACUUGUGGCUGGGGGUGAAAGGCCAAUCAAACCGGGAGAUAGCUGGUUCUCCCCGAAAGCUAUUUAGGUAGCGCCUCGUGAAUUCAUCUCCGGGGGUAGAGCACUGUUUCGGCAAGGGGGUCAUCCCGACUUACCAACCCGAUGCAAACUGCGAAUACCGGAGAAUGUUAUCACGGGAGACACACGGCGGGUGCUAACGUCCGUCGUGAAGAGGGAAACAACCCAGACCGCCAGCUAAGGUCCCAAAGUCAUGGUUAAGUGGGAAACGAUGUGGGAAGGCCCAGACAGCCAGGAUGUUGGCUUAGAAGCAGCCAUCAUUUAAAGAAAGCGUAAUAGCUCACUGGUCGAGUCGGCCUGCGCGGAAGAUGUAACGGGGCUAAACCAUGCACCGAAGCUGCGGCAGCGACGCUGAUGCGUUGUUGGGUAGGGGAGCGUUCUGUAAGCCUGCGAAGGUGUGCUGUGAGGCAUGCUGGAGGUAUCAGAAGUGCGAAUGCUGACAUAAGUAACGAUAAAGCGGGUGAAAAGCCCGCUCGCCGGAAGACCAAGGGUUCCUGUCCAACGUUAAUCGGGGCAGGGUGAGUCGACCCCUAAGGCGAGGCCGAAAGGCGUAGUCGAUGGGAAACAGGUUAAUAUUCCUGUACUUGGUGUUACUGCGAAGGGGGGACGGAGAAGGCUAUGUUGGCCGGGCGACGGUUGUCCCGGUUUAAGCGUGUAGGCUGGUUUUCCAGGCAAAUCCGGAAAAUCAAGGCUGAGGCGUGAUGACGAGGCACUACGGUGCUGAAGCAACAAAUGCCCUGCUUCCAGGAAAAGCCUCUAAGCAUCAGGUAACAUCAAAUCGUACCCCAAACCGACACAGGUGGUCAGGUAGAGAAUACCAAGGCGCUUGAGAGAACUCGGGUGAAGGAACUAGGCAAAAUGGUGCCGUAACUUCGGGAGAAGGCACGCUGAUAUGUAGGUGAAGUCCCUCGCGGAUGGAGCUGAAAUCAGUCGAAGAUACCAGCUGGCUGCAACUGUUUAUUAAAAACACAGCACUGUGCAAACACGAAAGUGGACGUAUACGGUGUGACGCCUGCCCGGUGCCGGAAGGUUAAUUGAUGGGGUUAGCCGCAAGGCGAAGCUCUUGAUCGAAGCCCCGGUAAACGGCGGCCGUAACUAUAACGGUCCUAAGGUAGCGAAAUUCCUUGUCGGGUAAGUUCCGACCUGCACGAAUGGCGUAAUGAUGGCCAGGCUGUCUCCACCCGAGACUCAGUGAAAUUGAACUCGCUGUGAAGAUGCAGUGUACCCGCGGCAAGACGGAAAGACCCCGUGAACCUUUACUAUAGCUUGACACUGAACAUUGAGCCUUGAUGUGUAGGAUAGGUGGGAGGCUUAGAAGUGUGGACGCCAGUCUGCAUGGAGCCGACCUUGAAAUACCACCCUUUAAUGUUUGAUGUUCUAACGUUGACCCGUAAUCCGGGUUGCGGACAGUGUCUGGUGGGUAGUUUGACUGGGGCGGUCUCCUCCUAAAGAGUAACGGAGGAGCACGAAGGUUGGCUAAUCCUGGUCGGACAUCAGGAGGUUAGUGCAAUGGCAUAAGCCAGCUUGACUGCGAGCGUGACGGCGCGAGCAGGUGCGAAAGCAGGUCAUAGUGAUCCGGUGGUUCUGAAUGGAAGGGCCAUCGCUCAACGGAUAAAAGGUACUCCGGGGAUAACAGGCUGAUACCGCCCAAGAGUUCAUAUCGACGGCGGUGUUUGGCACCUCGAUGUCGGCUCAUCACAUCCUGGGGCUGAAGUAGGUCCCAAGGGUAUGGCUGUUCGCCAUUUAAAGUGGUACGCGAGCUGGGUUUAGAACGUCGUGAGACAGUUCGGUCCCUAUCUGCCGUGGGCGCUGGAGAACUGAGGGGGGCUGCUCCUAGUACGAGAGGACCGGAGUGGACGCAUCACUGGUGUUCGGGUUGUCAUGCCAAUGGUACUGCCCGGUAGCUAAAUGCGGAAGAGAUAAGUGCUGAAAGCAUCUAAGCACGAAACUUGCCCCGAGAUGAGUUCUCCCUGACCCUUUAAGGGUCCUGAAGGAACGUUGAAGACGACGACGUUGAUAGGCCGGGUGUGUAAGCGCAGCGAUGCGUUGAGCUAACCGGUACUAAUGAACCGUGAGGCUUAACCUUACAACGCCGAAGCUGUU